rnacentral:lncRNA from 1 species
GAUCAUAUUAAUUUAAAUAUCAUGCAUGCAAAUAUCCAUAAUCCUUCCACAUGUUAGUCAAAUAACAUCAUGCUUCAUCAUCUCUUAUCAUGCCAUCAUAUUUAGUAUAUUAAUUUAUUUACUUGUUAAAAUGAUGCAAAUCAUCCAAUAUCAUGGAACAUUUAUGUAAACAUAUUUAAAACAUAACAAUAAUUAAACAUGUAACAAGUCAUGUCACAUUCAUGCAAUAUUCUUUUAUUAAUCUAGAAAUUAUCCUUAUAAAGUACAAAGUUAAUACCAAAUUCAUUACUGAAAGCUUGAGGAAAGUCUUCUUCUUUCUAUCCUCUCUUUCUCUCUUUAAAAUUUUCUUUGGUGAAUGGAAGAAUGAAGAUGAUGUGACGGAGUGGUG